rnacentral:rRNA from 1 species
AACGCUGGCGGCGUGCCUAAUACAUGCAAGUCGAACGGCUUUUCUAUGGAAGCUUGCUUCCACUGAGAAGAUAGUGGCGAACGGGUGAGUAACACGUGGGUAACCUGCCCAUAAGAGGGGGAUAACAUCCGGAAACGGGUGCUAAUACCGCAUAGUUUUCUUGAUCGCAUGAUUGAGAAAGGAAAGACGGCCUUUGUGCUGUCGCUUAUGGAUGGACCCGCGGCGUAUUAGUUAGUUGGUGAGGUAACGGCUCACCAAGACGAUGAUACGUAGCCGACCUGAGAGGGUGAUCGGCCACAUUGGGACUGAGACACGGCCCAAACUCCUACGGGAGGCAGCAGUAGGGAAUCUUCCGCAAUGGACGAAAGUCUGACGGAGCAACGCCGCGUGAGUGAAGAAAAGGUUUUCGGAUCGUAAAACUCUGUUGUCAGAGAAGAACAAGUUGGAGAGUAACUGCUCCAGCCUUGACGGUAUCUGACCAGAAAGCCACGGCUAACUACGUGCCAGCCGCAGC